rnacentral:misc_RNA from 1 species
ACGUGUAACCGCUUGCACACUGCAAAAAAAUCGCGCCGCUCAUCUAUGUCAAUACGCGUACGCGUGCACACGCACAUACGUUGCGAACAAACGCUUUGUGCCGAGGAUACAACCAAACAACGCGAAAAGUUAACGGAUAAAAUAACUUUGUCGCACGAUUUACGCAAAAUAUACAUCUACAGCAGACAGAAAAUGUAUACAAG